AUUGCCCUAGUAACGGCGAGUGAAGCGGCAACAGCUCAAAUUUGAAAUCUGGCUUUCGGGCCCGAGUUGUAAUUUGUAGAGGAUACUUUUGAUGCGGUGCCUUCCGAGUUCCCUGGAACGGGACGCCAUAGAGGGUGAGAGCCCCGUCUGGUUGGAUGCCAAAUCUCUGUAAAGUUCCUUCGACGAGUCGAGUAGUUUGGGAAUGCUGCUCUAAAUGGGAGGUAUAUGUCUUCUAAAGCUAAAUAUUGGCCAGAGACCGAUAGCGCACAAGUAGAGUGAUCGAAAGAUGAAAAGCACUUUGAAAAGAGAGUUAAAAAGUACGUGAAAUUGUUGAAAGGGAAGCGUUUAUGACCAGACUUGGACUUGGUUAAUCAUCUGGGGUUCUCCCCAGUGCACUUUUCCAGUUCAGGCCAGCAUCAGUUUUCGCCGGGGGAUAAAGGCUUCGGGAAUGUAGCUCUCUUCGGGGAGUGUUAUAGCCCGUUGUGUAAUACCCUGGCGGAGACUGAGGUUCGCGCUUCUGCAAGGAUGCUGGCGUAAUGGUCAUCAACGACCCGUCUUGAAACACGGACCAAGGAGUCGUCUUCGUAUGCGAGUGUUCGGGUGUCAAACCCCUACGCGUAAUGAAAGUGAACGCAGGUGAGAGCUUCGGCGCAUCAUCGACCGAUCCUGAUGUUCUCGGAUGGAUUUGAGUAAGAGCAUACGGGGCCGGACCCGAAAGAAGGUGAACUAUGCCUGUAUAGGGUGAAGCCAGAGGAAACUCUGGUGGAGGCUCGCAGCGGUUCUGACGUGCAAAUCGAUCGUCAAAUAUGGGCAUGGGGGCGAAAGACUAAUCGAACCUUCUAGUAGCUGGUUUCCGCCGAG
rnacentral:rRNA from 1 species